rnacentral:lncRNA from 1 species
UCCACAACCGAGAAAGACCAAGGCAAAUUCAGCACGAAAAGUUUCCUUUUUUGAUUAACUUUCUGGGCUUGCUCUGCAUCUUCUUCUGCAAUCGCAUUUCCUAAAGUUGAGCGUAACUUAAAUCUUGUGGUUUCGAGGGGAUGAGAGGUUGAGAGAAGAGGGAGUGAAAAAAGCGGGGAUUUAAGGAAAAAUGUAGGACUAGAAGCAGAAAUGUAAGAUCUCAAAGAGGGUACGUAUUUGUAACAAGAUUGAGAUUUUGGAGAAGAACAAGAGCAGAAGAUGGAAAACGCAGCCUCGGUUGCCGCUGCAGCCAUUUUGCACCACAAUUGUUAUCACAAAAGAGAGCAACUAGAAAGGGAUGAACUUUUAACUCCGGUCUGUGAGUACGGUAGGGCCUUAAUUCUUCUACCUCAAAAUUAUGUGGAUUUUUUUUUUUUUUUUUAAACCAAAUACCACUAUAGGGUUGCUUAUUUUAUAUUAUAAAAGCCAUAAUACAAAUAAAAGAGGGGACAUAGACCUGACUUCCAGCAAAUAUAAAGUGCAACAAAUAUCUCAAAAUGGAUUACAAGUAACAAUAAAUGAUACAUGACCAAGAACUCCCAUGGGUAAACUUCCAGGUGGUAGCAAUCGAAAUCUAGAGCUUGAACAGAUGGAUGUCAAAACAGCAUUUCUUCAUGGUGAUUUAUAUGAAGAAAUUUAUAUAAAGCAGCCAGAAGAUUUUGAAGUUUUAGGUAAAGAGAACUUCAUUUGCAAAUUAAAAAAGAGCUUAUAAGGCCUUAAACAAGCACUAAGGUAGUGGUACAAAAAGUUUGACUCGUUCAUGGUGAGCCAAGGCUACAAUGAACUGCUGCAGAUCGAUGUGUUUAUAUCCAAAGAUUUCCAAAUGACUUAGUUGCUCUUCUAUUAUAUGUAGACGAUAUGUUGAUUGUUGGACAAUAUGCAACACAAAUCAGUCAGUUGAAGAAGGAACUCUCCAAGUUCUUUGACAUGAAGGAUUUAGGCGCAACUUAACAGAUUUUGGUCAUCUUCAUUUUUUGCAAUGAGUUUGAGGAUUGAAGUAAGCUGUGUUUUUCUCAAUACCAAUUUUCAAUUUCUUUUGCUCGUGAAAUCUUGUCACAAUUCAGCUAAACAGCCUCAUCGAAGAACACCUAAAUGGCUGCUACGGAAAAAAUUACAAAAUGGUGAAGGAUCUGUUUGGAAAUGCUGAUUUGGCAGUAAGUUGGCAUUUAAUUUACCAUCUGGACUCAUUUAACCAGCCACAUCAUGUUUCUAUCAUCCACAUAAGCAGAUAUACUAACAGAUUCCAUCAGAUGAGUGAUGGAGUACGAUGGAACAAGGUUCAAUGGCUGGGACGUUUGAUAAAGUUUAGCGAGUGAGUCGUGACGUGGUGCAAAGUUCAGUGGUAUUGAAACAUUUAACUCCCCACUUCUGUUUGUUUAUUUAAGUUAUUUAAGUUAUACUCAAACUUUAGGAGUCUAAUUAAAUUUUUAGUUAUGUCCCUUAAUUAUAAGAAAUAUUUACAAAGAAAUUAACCAUUGAAAAAGAAAUGUUAUCUUCUUCUUGAAUGAGUCUAUGUAGGUAAACUAAUCAUUUAUAUCAUUUAACAACUAAUUAACUGAAAAUUUUUCAACUGUAUUACAAAUUUAAUAAUACUAGUUAGUUAAAUGUAAACCAUUCUUGAUCUAUUCUAUUCUAUACUGCAGGCUAAAAGAUUAAGUACACAACUAGCUGUGAACACAAAAGAAAACAGGAUGCAGACUAUCGUAUCUAUGAAGCUCAAACAAAUAAAUUAAAAAAAAAAAAAAAACUUGAUUUGAGUUAUCUUAUUGCUUUAAUAACAUAAUAUAUUUACGUUGUGGCGAGCAAUGGACAGUUAUCAUAUUUGGUCUCAUUAGUUGCCAGUAAUUACAGACGAUUACUAUUCUAUAGUUAUAGUUCAAUCACUUGGUGAUAGUAAACAUUUAGUGCAAACAACAGUCUUGAGCAAUGGACAACAAUUACAUUGCAAAAUAGACAGAAUGAAUAACCUUGUCUUACUUUUGAAGUGAAAUAUUUUGUGAACUCAGAAUAAUUAGUAUAUGGACACUGGUAAGGAACUACUGCUUUUUUAACAUAACCAGAAACUCUCCAGAAUAAGAGGAUUUAAUUAUCUCAGAAGAUAUUAAAAAAAAAUUCAAAUAAAACAACAUAUACACACUCUUUCAAGUUUAUUAGAGACAAUAAUAGAAUUUCAUAUUUAGAAAAGAACUUACGGAAGAGUCAAAUUUAUCAAUUACAGCCUGAGCCUCUUCUCCAGAAGCCAUAGUCACAAAUGCAAAUCCUCUACUUCUCCCAUCUUUCUGUUUGAUAAUCUAAACUUCCAAAGCAAAAAAGAAAAAUAAACCCAAUAUUCAGAAGAGAUUCUCUGUAGAAAUAUAGCAUAAAACAUAUAUAAUUGCAAUUCUACAUCUUUGUAUACAUUUUAUACCUCAACGUCUGCCACAGUUCCACACUCACCAAAGAAGUUCUUUAUAUCCACAACCGAGAAAGACCAAGGCAAAUUCAGCACGAAAAGUUUCCUUUUUUGAUUAACUUUCUGGGCUUGCUCUGCAUCUUCUUCUGCAAUCGCAUUUCCUAAAGUUGAGCGUAACUUAAAUCUUGUGGUUUCGAGGGGAUGAGAGGUUGAGAGAAGAGGGAGUGAAAAAAGCGGGGAUUUAAGGAAAAAUGUAGGACUAGAAGCAGAAAUGUAAGAUCUCAAAGAGGGUACGUAUUUGUAACAAGAUUGAGAUUUUGGAGAAGAACAAGAGCAGAAGAUGGAAAACGCAGCCUC